UUUUCUCCCUGCCGCAAAACUCAAGUGUAUGCUGAAUCGGAAGUUCCAUGCUACGAUAAACCGAAGUGACCCGCAGUGAUUACCUCUACGAGGAAUGUCGAUCUCAUUGAAGCUUUCCUUUUUCUUGUUGGACCAUCUAAUCGAAAAAAUGAGUCCUGAAAAAAAUGGUUCCUGAAAGACCAGCUUGUACUGUGGAACGGGAAUUUGACCAUCCUUGACCUGAACCUGGAUGUUCAUCAGCGUUGAACAUGGAAUUGGUGUCGAAAAGUACAAACGGCCAGGCGACUGCAGUGAUUCUGAGGAAAUCGCGGAUCGAGACCAUCAGCGUCGGAGGACAGCCAGGAGAGGAAUCUCCCGU